rnacentral:rRNA from 1 species
ACUCAAAUGAAUUGACGGGGACCCGCACAACCGGUGGAGCGUGUGGUUCAAUUCGAUACGAAACGAAAAACCUCACCAGGGUUUGACAUGAUACCGUUUAUGCUUUUGGAAACAUUAGCAAAUCCGCAAGGAUGGUACCACAGGUGCUGCAUGGCUGUCGUCAGCUCGUGCCGUGAGGUGUUCCCUUAAGUGGGGAAACGAGCGCAACCCCUGUCUAAUGUUAAAUAUUCAUUAGAUACAGCCCCACACUUUUGGGUUUGAAUAUAAUUCGAACUUAGAAGUGUGGGGAGGAAGGAAGGGAAGACGUCAAGUCAGCAUGGUCCUUACACCCUGGGCUACACACACACUACAAUGGCGAAUAACAGAGGGCUGCAAGCGCGCAAGUGCAAGCUAAUCCCUAAAAUUUCGCCUCAGUUCAGAUUGGGGUCUGAAACCCGACCCCAUGAAGUCGGAAUCGGUAGUAAUCGCAGAUCAGCAAGCUGCGGUGAAUACGUUCUCGGGUCUUGCACACACCGCCCGU